UUGGAGGGCAAGUCUGGUGCCAGCAGCCGCGGUAAUUCCAGCUCCAAUAGCGUAUAUUAAAGUUGUUGCAGUUAAAAAGCUCGUAGUUGAAUUUCGGGAUCAAGGAAUCGGUCAUGCCUCGGUAUGUACUGGUUUUAUUGGUUCUCACCUUCUAAAGAACCAUAAUGUCAUUUAUUUGGUGUUAUGGGGAAUUAGGACUGUUACCUUGAAAAAAUUAGAGUGUUUAAAGCAAGCUUACGCUUGAAUACAUUAGCAUGGAAUAAUGAAAUAGGACAUCCGAUUCUAUUUUGUUGGUUUCUAGGAUCGAUGUAAUGAUUAAUAGGGAUAGUUGGGGGCAUUAGUAUUCAAUUGUCAGAGGUGAAAUUCUUGGAUUUAUUGAAGACUAACUACUGCGAAAGCAUUUGCCAAGGAUGUUUUCAUUAAUCAAGAACGAAAGUUAGGGGAUCGAGGACGAUCAGAUACCGUCGUAGUCUUAACCAUAAACUAUGCCGACUAGGGAUCGGAUGAUGUUUAUUUUUUAGUGACUCAUUCGGCGCCUUACGGGAAAC
rnacentral:rRNA from 1 species